rnacentral:rRNA from 1 species
AAGCGGUGGAUGAUGUGGAUUAAUUCGAUGCAACGCGAAAACCUUACCUACCCUUGACAUGUCUGGAACCUUGCUGAGAGGCGAGGGUGCCUUCGGGAGCCAGAACACAGGUGCUGCAUGGCUGUCGUCAGCUCGUGUCGCGAGAUGUUGGGUUAAGUCCCGCAACGAGCGCAACCCUUGUCAUUAGUUGCCAUCAUUUAGUUGGGCACUCUAAUGAGACUGCCGGUGACAAACCGGAGGAAGGUGGGGAUGACGUCAAGUCCUCAUGGCCCUUAUGGGUAGGGCUUCACACGUCAUACAAUGGUCGGUACAGAGGGUUGCCAAGCCGCGAGGUGGAGCCAAUCCCUUAAAGCCGAUCGUAGUCCGGAUCGUAGUCUGCAACUCGACUACGUGAAGUCGGAAUCGCUAGUAAUCGCAGAUCAGCAUGCUGCGGUGAAUACGUUCCCGGGUCUU